rnacentral:rRNA from 1 species
AACGAACGCUGGCGGCGUGCCUAAUACAUGCAAGUCGAACGCACUCUCGUUUAGAUUGAAGGAGCUUGCUCCUGAUUGAUAAACAUUUGAGUGAGUGGCGGACGGGUGAGUAACACGUGGGUAACCUGCCCUAAAGUGGGGGAUAACAUUUGGAAACAGAUGCUAAUACCGCAUAAAACCUAAACACCGCGUGGUGUAGGGUUGAAAGAUGGUUUCGGCUAUCACUUUAGGAUGGACCCGCGGUGCAUUAGUUAGUUGGUGAGGUAAAGGCUCACCAAGACCGUGAUGCAUAGCCGACCUGAGAGGGUAAUCGGCCACACUGGGACUGAGACACGGCCCAGACUCCUACGGGAGGCAGCAGUAGGGAAUCUUCCACAAUGGACGAAAGUCUGAUGGAGCAACGCCGCGUGAGUGAAGAAGGUUUUCGGAUCGUAAAACUCUGUUGUUGGAGAAGAAUGUAUCUGAUAGUAACUGAUCAGGUAGUGACGGUAUCCAA